rnacentral:rRNA from 1 species
UACCAGCACCCCGAGUGGUCGGGACGAUUAUUGGGCCUAAAGCAUCCGUAGCCGGUUCUGCAAGUCCCCCGUUAAAUCCAGCUGCUCAACAGAUGGGCCGCGGAGGAUACUACAGAGCUAGGAGGCAGGAGAGGCAAGCGGUACUCAGUGGGUAGGGGUAAAAUCCGUUGAUCCAUUGAAGACCACCAGUGGCGAAGGCGGCUUGCCAGAACGCGCUCGACGGUGAGGGAUGAAAGCUGGGGGAGCAAACCGGG